rnacentral:rRNA from 1 species
CAAAUGAAUUGACGGGGGCCCGCACAAGCGGUGGAGCAUGUGGUUUAAUUCGAUGCAACGCGAAGAACCUUACCUGGUCUUGACAUCCACAGAACUUUCCAGAGAUGGAUUGGUGCCUUCGGGAACUGUGAGACAGGUGCUGCAUGGCUGUCGUCAGCUCGUGUUGUGAAAUGUUGGGUUAAGUCCCGCAACGAGCGCAACCCUUAUCCUUUGUUGCCAGCGGUCCGGCCGGGAACUCAAAGGAGACUGCCAGUGAUAAACUGGAGGAAGGUGGGGAUGACGUCAAGUCAUCAUGGCCCUUACGACCAGGGCUACACACGUGCUACAAUGGCGCAUACAAAGAGAAGCGACCUCGUGAGAGCAAGCGGACCUCAUAAAGUGCGUCGUAGUCCGGAUUGGAGUCUGCAACUCGACUCCAUGAAGUCGGAAUCGCUAGUAAUCGUGGAUCAGAAUGCCACGGUGAAUACGUUCCCGGGCCUUGUACACACCGCCCGUCACACCAUGGGAGUGGGUUGCAAAAGAAGUAGGUAGCUUAACCUUCGGGAGGGCGCUUACCACUUUGUGAUUCAUGACUGGGGUGAAGUCGUAACAAGGUAACCGUAGGGGAACCUGCGGUUGGAUCACCUCCUUACCUUAAAGAAGC